UGGGGAAUAUUGGACAAUGGGCGAAAGCCUGAUCCAGCCAUGCCGCGUGAGUGACGAAGGCCUUAGGGUUGUAAAGCUCUUUUGGCGGGGAAGAUAAUGACGGUACCCGCAGAAUAAGCUCCGGCUAACUUCGUGCCAGCAGCCGCGGUAAUACGAAGGGAGCUAGCGUUGUUCGGAAUCACUGGGCGUAAAGCGCACGUAGGCGGAUUGUUUAGUCAGGGGUGAAAUCCCGGGGCUCAACCUCGGAACUGCCUUUGAUACUGGCAAUCUCGAGUCCGAUAGAGGUGGUGGAAUUCCUAGUGUAGAGGUGAAAUUCGUAGAUAUUAGGAAGAACACCGGUGGCGAAGGCGGCCCACUGGAUCGGUACUGACGCUGAGGUGCGAAAGCGUGGGGAGCAAACAGGAUUAGAUACCCCCGUAGUCCCUGAGCGGGCUGGCAAGGCGCAU
rnacentral:rRNA from 1 species